UGGGGAAUUUUGGACAAUGGGCGCAAGCCUGAUCCAGCAAUGCCGCGUGCAGGAUGAAGGCCUUCGGGUUGUAAACUGCUUUUGUACGGAACGAAAAGGCUCUGGUUAAUACCUGGGGCUCAUGACGGUACCGUAAGAAUAAGCACCGGCUAACUACGUGCCAGCAGCCGCGGUAAUACGUAGGGUGCAAGCGUUAAUCGGAAUUACUGGGCGUAAAGCGUGCGCAGGCGGUGAUGUAAGACAGGUGUGAAAUCCCCGGGCUUAACCUGGGAACUGCAUUUGUGACUGUAUAGCUAGAGUACGGCAGAGGGGGAUGGAAUUCCGCGUGUAGCAGUGAAGUGCGUAGAUAUGCGGAGGAACACCGAUGGCGAAGGCAAUCCCCUGGGCCUGUACUGACGCUCAUGCACGAAAGCGUGGGGAGCAAACA
rnacentral:rRNA from 1 species